rnacentral:ncRNA from 1 species
GUUUGAUGGCCGGGCCCCUCUGGCGAACGUGGCGGCACGUUCGUGAUGUCGGCAUCGAUCU